AGAGUUUGAUCAUGGCUCAGAUUGAACGCUGGCGGCAUGCCUUACACAUGCAAGUCGAACGGUAACGGGCCUUCGGGUGCCGACGAGUGGCGAACGGGUGAGUAAUGCAUCGGAACGUACCUUCAGUGGGGGAUAACGUAGCGAAAGUUACGCUAAUACCGCAUAUUCUGUGAGCAGGAAAGCAGGGGAUCGCAAGACCUUGCGCUGAUUGAGCGGCCGAUGUCAGAUUAGCUAGUUGGUGGGGUAAUGGCCCACCAAGGCGACGAUCGGUAGCUGGUCUGAGAGGAUGAUCAGCCACACUGGGACUGAGACACGGCCCAGACUCCUACGGGAGGCAGCAGUGGGGAAUUUUGGACAAUGGGGGCAACCCUGAUCCAGCCAUGCCGCGUGCGGGAAGAAGGCCUUCGGGUUGUAAACCGCUUUUGGUCGGGAAGAAAAGGCAACUCCUAAUACGAGGUGUUCUUGACGGUACCGGCAGAAUAAGCACCGGCUAACUACGUG
rnacentral:rRNA from 1 species